GAUGAACGCUCGCGGGAGGCUUAACACAUGCAAGCCGAGGGGUAUAGUUCUUUCGGGAACUAGAGACCGGCGCACGGGUGCGUAACGCGUAUGCAACUUGCCCUACUGAAAAGGAUAGCCCUUCGAAAGGAGGAUUAAUACUUUAUAACAGAUUUAAUGGCAUCAUUAGAUUUUGAAAGAUUUAUCGCAGUAGGAUAGGCAUGCGUAAGAUUAGUUAGUUGGUGAGGUAAUGGCUCACCAAGACGAUGAUCUUUAGGGGGCCUGAGAGGGUGAACCCCCACACUGGUACUGAGACACGGACCAGACUCCUACGGGAGGCAGCAGUGAGGAAGAUUGGACAAUGGGUGGAAGCCUGAUCCAGCCAUCCCGCGUGUAGGAUGACGGCCUUAUGGGUUGUAAACUACUUUUAUCUGGGGAUAAACCUACUUACGUGUAAGUAGCUGAAGGUACCAGAAGAAUAAGCACCGGCUAACUCCGUG
rnacentral:rRNA from 1 species